UGGUCAGCAACUCCUAUCCCUACCUCCUCGUGGUACUGGCCGGGGUACGAGUAACUUUAGGGAAGAUCGGGUAACCAACCCCGUUGGAAACUUUGGUCGUAUGCUGACAUGGAAAUGG
rfam:Aedes aegypti strain Liverpool supercont1.166 genomic scaffold, whole genome shotgun sequence.